AGAGUUUGAUCCUGGCUCAGGAUGAACGCUGGCGGCGUGCCUAAUACAUGCAAGUCGAGCGAACGGACGAGAAGCUUGCUUCUCUGAUGUUAGCGGCGGACGGGGGAGUAACACGUGGAUAACCUACCUAUAAGACUGGGAUAACUUCGGGAAACCGGAGCUAAUACCGGAUAAUAUUUUGAACCGCAUGGUUCAAAAGUGAAAGACGGUCUUGCUGUCACUUAUAGAUGGAUCCGCGCUGCAUUAGCUAGUUGGUAAGGUAACGGCUUACCAAGGCAACGAUGCAUAGCCGACCUGAGAGGGUGAUCGGCCACACUGGAACUGAGACACGGUCCAGACUCCUACGGGAGGCAGCAGUAGGGAAUCUUCCGCAAUGGGCGAAAGCCUGACGGAGCAACGCCGCGUGAGUGAUGAAGGUCUUCGGAUCGUAAAACUCUGUUAUUAGGGAAGAACAUAUGUGUAAGUAACUGUGCACAUCUUGACGGUACCUAAUCAGAAAGCCACGGCUAACUACGUGCCAGCAGCCGCGGUAAUACGUAGGUGGCAAGCGUUAUCCGGAAUUAUUGGGCGUAAAGCGCGCGUAGGCGGUUUUUUAAGUCUGAUGUGAAAGCCCACGGCUCAACCGUGGAGGGUCAUUGGAAACUGGAAAACUUGAGUGCAGAAGAGGAAAGUGGAAUUCCAUGUGUAGCGGUGAAAUGCGCAGAGAUAUGGAGGAACACCAGUGGCGAAGGCGACUUUCUGGUCUGUAACUGACGCUGAUGUGCGAAAGCGUGGGGAUCAAACAGGAUUAGAUACCCUGGUAGUCCACGCCGUAAACGAUGAGUGCUAAGUGUUAGGGGGUUUCCGCCCCUUAGUGCUGCAGCUAACGCAUUAAGCACUCCGCCUGGGGAGUACGACCGCAAGGUUGAAACUCAAAGGAAUUGACGGGGACCCGCACAAGCGGUGGAGCAUGUGGUUUAAUUCGAAGCAACGCGAAGAACCUUACCAAAUCUUGACAUCCUUUGACAACUCUAGAGAUAGAGCCUUCCCCUUCGGGGGACAAAGUGACAGGUGGUGCAUGGUUGUCGUCAGCUCGUGUCGUGAGAUGUUGGGUUAAGUCCCGCAACGAGCGCAACCCUUAAGCUUAGUUGCCAUCAUUAAGUUGGGCACUCUAAGUUGACUGCCGGUGACAAACCGGAGGAAGGUGGGGAUGACGUCAAAUCAUCAUGCCCCUUAUGAUUUGGGCUACACACGUGCUACAAUGGACAAUACAAAGGGCAGCGAAACCGCGAGGUCAAGCAAAUCCCAUAAAGUUGUUCUCAGUUCGGAUUGUAGUCUGCAACUCGACUACAUGAAGCUGGAAUCGCUAGUAAUCGUAGAUCAGCAUGCUACGGUGAAUACGUUCCCGGGUCUUGUACACACCGCCCGUCACACCACGAGAGUUUGUAACACCCGAAGCCGGUGGAGUAACCUUUUAGGAGCUAGCCGUCGAAGGUGGGACAAAUGAUUGGGGUGAAGUCGUAACAAGGUAGCCGUAUCGGAAGGUGCGGCUGGAUCACCU
rnacentral:rRNA from 12 species